AGCGAACGCUGGCGGCAGGCUUAACACAUGCAAGUCGAGCGGGCGUAGCAAUACGUCAGCGGCAGACGGGUGAGUAACGCGUGGGAACGUACCUUUUGGUUCGGAACAACCCAGGGAAACUUGGGCUAAUACCGGAUAAGCCCUUACGGGGAAAGAUUUAUCGCCGAAAGAUCGGCCCGCGUCUGAUUAGCUAGUUGGUGAGGUACUGGCUCACCAAGGCGACGAUCAGUAGCUGGUCUGAGAGGAUGAUCAGCCACAUUGGGACUGAGACACGGCCCAAACUCCUACGGGAGGCAGCAGUGGGGAAUAUUGGACAAUGGGCGCAAGCCUGAUCCAGCUAUGCCGCGUGAGUGAUGAAGGCCCUAGGGUUGUAAAGCUCUUUUGUGCGGGAAGAUAAUGACGGUACCGCAAGAAUAAGCCCCGGCUAACUUCGUGCCAGCAGCCGCCGUAAGAC
rnacentral:rRNA from 1 species